UUGUCGCCCUCACCCAGCUGCUGCGGCGGAGAGACGGAGGCCAGCGCGGGGAGCGGAAGCCGGAGCCUGUCGGGAGCGACCCCGGGAAGGCCAGUCCCUCCUGCCGGAGGGAGGCGUGUUGGCGUGCGGCCGGUGGCGGGAUCGAUGGCCACCUGGUAGGCGAUGGUAAGCGGCAGUGGCCUGCGCCAAGGUAGCCCCCGGGGGGCGGUGUGUGGCGCCCGGACCCGCACCCUCUGCUCCCGGGGGUGGAGCUGACCUGCUUGCCCGCGGUUGGGCUCGGGAGCCUGCGGGCCGCGGCCAGGAGGGAGCUGGCUGGCCGUCCCGGCGGUGGGGGCUGUGGCGGUGGCCGUCCCGCGGGUGUGCCCGUGCUCGGAUCGAUGAUGACACCCACAAACGCAUUCCUUGGAAAAUCUGAACAAAAUGAGUGAGAACUCACUACCGUCUCCUCAUCGCAAACUGAGGUCCGGCACGUGGCUCCCACAGGGGACGUCGGGGGAGGGUCCCGUUGCCUUGGCUCCCUUGGCUGCUGCGGCGGAGAGACGGAGGCCAGCGCGGGGAGCGGAAGCCGGAGCCUGUCGGGAGCGACCCCGGGAAGGCCAGUCCCUCCUGCCGGAGGGAGGCGUGUUGGCGUGCGGCCGGUGGCGGGAUCGAUGGCCACCUGGUAGGCGAUGGUAAGCGGCAGUGGCCUGCGCCAAGGUAGCCCCCGGGGGGCGGUGUGUGGCGCCCGGACCCGCACCCUCUGCUCCCGGGGGUGGAGCUGACCUGCUUGCCCGCGGUUGGGCUCGGGAGCCUGCGGGCCGCGGCCAGGAGGGAGCUGGCUGGCCGUCCCGGCGGUGGGGGCUGUGGCGGUGGCCGUCCCGCGGGUGUGCCCGUGCUCGGAUCGAUGAUGACACCCACAAACGCAUUCCUUGGAAAAUCUGAACAAAAUGAGUGAGAACUCACUACCGUCUCCUCAUCGCAAACUGAGGUCCGGCACGUGGCUCCCACAGGGGACGUCGGGGGAGGGUCCCGUUGCCUUGGCUCCCUUGGGUGCGUGCAGCCUGGGGCGCAGGUGGGGCAGGCAGGC
rnacentral:lncRNA from 1 species